AGAGCAAUAGGUUCAAGUAUAAAAAUGUCAAUACUGAGGGCCUAACGAGAAACACAAAAAUCGUAAUUUUAUUAUCUGCCUCUCUAUCACUCUUGCAUAUUCGAGCAAUAAAGAGGCAGGUAACUAUAUAUAACACAGAAAGAAUUGAAAAUAUAAACCAUUGUACUAUUAUUACCUAAGUAUCGUUAUUUACGAUUAUUUGUGUAUGUAUCGUAUAUUUAAUUUGUAUAAAAACAAUAUCGAAUGUUGCCUUUGGAAACUUAAAACAUGCUUGUAGUAAGAAAACACGCCUCUUCUUUGACAGGCGUUUCGGCAGCUAUUCCGUUUCAUUCAGACAACUUAUUAAGAAUAGUUUUUCAAUAUUCAAUAUUAAAAAAUAAACGUAUUAAAAUGAUGAACAAGUAAGUAAUAAAAUAUGAAAUAUGUAUGUUUUUAUUAUUCUUACAUUUACAGUAGGUUUUUAUGGCCAUUACGACUUUUAAAGAAAACUAACAUUAACUCUCAUCAAUAAGUAGUCAUGAAUUGGAACAAGUAUAUUAAAAAAAAAAUACCCUGUUUUUUGUAAAAGUAAUAAUGUAAUAGACAUUUAUUUGUAUGUUCAUCACGAAUAUUUGUUUCUGAGUUAUGGAUUCUAUCUAGUACCCAUAGUACAAGCUUUGCUUAGUUUGAGGCUCGGUCGAUAUGUGUAAGACUGUCCCCGAAAUGUUUGUUUGUUUAUUUAUUUAUCUACAAAAUAACACACAUAGGUUUAGUAUUUUAUACCGAUAUAGGAGUGAAUAAUUGGAAAUUAAAACGGUUGCCAAGAAAACGAUUUAGUUUAACCCUUAAUGAAAAUAAAUGCAGAUUGAUUAUAAACGGCUAGCAGUCCAUUUAAAUUAGCUUCACUCAAAAUUGAGUUGAAAAAUAUAUUCUUUGGCAUAAUAAUAUUGAUAGAAGAAGCGAAAACUAAGGCCAUGUUUUGGCUGCCUGUUCCCUUGAGUAGGGUUUGGCAGCGGACCGGUGAGCGAGAAAAAAAUCCACGAAUAGAAUUGCAUAAAUGGUGGCUCAUUUCAAUUCUAUUGGUGGAUUUCGCUCCGUUAUGUGGCUCCAGUGGACAGGCAGCCUAAAGAAAAAAAAAUAUUAAUAAAAAUAAUAUGCAAUUGGAUAUGGAUGGAUACGGUUGCCAAUUAUAAUAACGCAGCGCUCGUUAUAUAUGUGAAUCGUUGACGCCGUUGCACCAUUCCCGCCGCCGCCGCUAUGUCGCCGACGCCGCCGCUCGCCCGCUCGCUGCUCGCGCUCGCCGCGCUGCUCGCCGCCGCCGACGCUAUGACGACCCCUUUUUGCGACAGUCUGAGUAGAGAAAUGUUCCAGACCAGGAAGAGAGUUAGUAGGCGAUUAUAUCAGCGUGUGCAACACUCCAUACUCUAAGCCCCAACUGCGCUCGCUUAUGCUGGGUACCGAUAUCACUACUAUUCCGUUCUGGGCUGUGUACAUCGGGUGCCCUCAGACUGUCACUGGCUGCUCGCGUCUCGAAGUGCAAGUGACGCAGUACUGCAAGAUGGUGACGGCGCCAACGCCGCCGGUCGGAAAUGUGUUGGGUUAACGUGGUGAUCAAUGCACUUAGCUAAGUGUUAAUUCUGUAUAGAAAACGCCGAUAGAAACUUAAAAAUUGUUUGUUCGAAUCUGCCAUCUCAAUACGUUGUAUCGAUUGGUCGAUAAAAGAUUAUUAAUAAAACUCGUGUUGACAGUUGCAAACAGACUCAUUUUAUUUCGUUUUAAAUAUCGUCGUUGAGAAUUCCAAAUCCGUUAUGUGCUCGAUUUUUAAUUGACAAAUAGUUACCUAGCAGAAAAAUAGACCUGGCCGACGGCAGCACUGGUAUACAAAUGCAUGGAAUGCAUAUUAAAUAAUGAUUUUGUUACAUUUUUAACAGUUAUCUUGGAUAUGUCACCAAGCCUGUUACAGCGAUUUGACAAGUGUCAUCUGACAUUGAUAAUGAAAUAAAGAACUUUAACAUGUCAAUAUAUAUUAAAAUCAAAUAAAGCAUUUAU